rnacentral:tRNA from 1 species
UCCCUGGUGGUCCAGUGGUUAGGACUCCGCGCUUCUACUGCACGGGGCACAGGUUUGAUUCCUGUUCAGGGAA